rnacentral:rRNA from 1 species
GCCAGCGAUGAUAGCACGUUGAAUACACACAGUUCUCAAUAGAUCACUGAAGUUAAGGAACGUUGCGCAUGGUUGGUAUUUGGUAUACGGAUGGUUGACCAUAUCGCCAAUCACAAGGUGCUGGCU